rfam:Marssonina brunnea f. sp. &apos;multigermtubi&apos; MB_m1 unplaced genomic scaffold M6_S00010, whole genome shotgun sequence.
GGCGAUUUGGCGGAGUGGUUAACGCGGUAGACUUGAAAUCUACUUCCUUCGGGAGCGUAGGUUCAAAUCCUGCAGUCGUCG